rnacentral:rRNA from 1 species
CCUACGGGAGGCAGCAGUGGGGAAUAUUGGACAAUGGGGGCAACCCUGAUCCAGCCAUGCCGCGUGUGUGAAGAAGGCCCUCGGGUUGUAAAGCACUUUCAGUGAGGAAGAACGCCUGGUGGUUAAUACCCAUCAGGAAAGACAUCACUCACAGAAGAAGCACCGGCUAACUCCGUGCCAGCAGCCGCGGUAAUACGGAGGGUGCGAGCGUUAAUCGGAAUUACUGGGCGUAAAGCGCGCGUAGGUGGCUUGAUAAGCCGGUCGUGAAAGCCCCGGGCUCAACCUGGGAACGGCAUCCGGAACUGUCAAGCUAGAGUGCAGGAGAGGAAGGUAGAAUUCCCGGUGUAGCGGUGAAAUGCGUAGAGAUCGGGAGGAAUACCAGUGGCGAAGGCGGCCUUCUGGACUGACACUGACACUGAGGUGCGAAAGCGUGGGUAGCAAACAGGAUUAGAUACCCCUGUAGUC